UCUAUUAUGGCAGAUUAGUGCAAUGGAUUUAAACCCCAUUUAUAAAGAAAUUAUCUUUUUUUAGAA
rnacentral:tRNA from 1 species